rnacentral:rRNA from 1 species
AUUGAACGCUGGCGGCAUGCCUUACACAUGCAAGUCGAACGGUAACAGGUCUUCGGAUGCUGACGAGUGGCGAACGGGUGAGUAAUACAUCGGAACGUGCCUAGUAGUGGGGGAUAACUACUCGAAAGAGUGGCUAAUACCGCAUGAGAUCUACGGAUGAAAGCAGGGGAUCGCAAGACCUUGUGCUACUAGAGCGGCCGAUGGCAGAUUAGGUAGUUGGUGGGAUAAAAGCUUACCAAGCCGACGAUCUGUAGCUGGGCUGAGAGGACGAUCAGCCACACUGGGACUGGGACACGGCCCAGACGCCUACGGGAGGCAGCAGUGGGGAAUUUUGGACAAUGGGCGCAAGCCUGAUCCAGCAAUGCCGCGUGCAGGAUGAAGGCCUUCGGGUUGUAAACUGCUUUUGUACGGAACGAAAAGCCCUGGGUUAAUACCCUGGGGUCAUGACGGUACCGUAAGAAUAAGCACCGGCUAACUACGUGCCAGCAGCCGCCGCAGUAA